AUGGUGUGAGCUGCGUGAGGAGGGGAAAAAUGCUCUUUGGCACCGACCGCAAUGUAUCAGAGUCUUAAUUUAGGAAUGUUGGACCCAAAAGUGUGAGCGGACUUGGAACGCGUACCUGUUAUGGAAUCAUGGGUUUGGAAGACAUCCAAAGAUGGAAGAACCCGCCUCGGCCAGGGAACCGUUAUGGAGGUAGCAAACGCUGGCAGGUUGUUGUUGCUGGAUUGGCUCCUUGCCACAAUUGGAAUGAGAGAUGGAGGCUCACUCCGUCACAUUCCUCUCCUGUUGCAGAUGCUAAGAGGCAACACCAUCUGUCCAAGAGCUUGGAUAGAAAAGGGGCCUUUUGGCAGCCCUCAGAUACUUCCUCCUCUCCACAAACAGGAAACCUGUAUCAGCUGGGGCUUGGUUUGGGACUUGUAAGCAUUCUCCUUGGCCUGGUCCAAGCAACUGGCCUUGGGGAGAAAGAAGAGAGGUCAGUGGGAAUCGCGUUUCGUGCAAACAAGACAAGGCGUCCGGAUGCAUCGCCGUUGUUCGGCACAAAGACGGUCCCUUUGGGAGUUCCAUCUCCUUGCUUCUUCUCUAUCUCUCUAUCCAAUGUGAUUGCAGUCUGCAUCAAUAGUUAUAAGGCUGUUGCACCUCAGCACUGGAUCACCUUGCUCUUAACACACACUCCACCACAGCAGACUUGGAUUUCUCAGUUCAUUGAUAAAAGAUAGCAAAAUCUUAACAAAAAGCAGUAAUCCAAUUGCAUAGUCAAUCUGCAGAAUACAGUUCAAAGUCUUUGUAGAAAAUAGUUCAAAGUCUCUAAAAUAACAUUUCAGUCCUGGAACGCAAGGUAGCAUGAUCUCCAAAAUACAAUCCAAAUGCAGAAUCUAAGCAGGAACAGAAGCAAGGAUCUAUUUCCAUGAGCAGAGACAAGGCAGGAGUUAAGCUUCCAAAAAUCAACAUUGCUCUGUCUGAAAUCUUUCCCAGUUUCACCCUUUUUGACCAUGCUUUUUUUUUUUUCAUGUCAGGAGCAACCUGAGUUGCUUCUGGAGUGAGAGAAUUGGCUAUCUGCAAGGACGGU
rnacentral:lncRNA from 1 species